rnacentral:misc_RNA from 1 species
UGGCAGCUUGUAUUUGUCGACAGGGAGAAUGAUAUACUUCUCCUUGGAGAUGACCCAUGGGAGGCAUUUGUGAACAAUGUUUGGUAUAUCAAGAUACUUACCCCAGAGGAUGUACAAAAGAUGGGGGAGCAGGGGUUGGAAUCCUUCAGCCCAAAUGUAGGUCAAAGGAUCGAGUAAUGGUGGGGCUUGAGACUUUGCCUCCUAGCGAAUGCUGUCCGUAUGAGAGCAGUAUGACGUCCUGCUCUCGAGGGUCAGAGAUAAAAUUACCAGGUUUUCCCGCUCUAGUGUGUGCGCUACAUUGCUGUUUCUAUUAAAAAUUUUAUUAUAUACCACCUGUUUUGCCUAGACUAAUAACUAGUUCUGAUGAAUUUGACUGUCGUGGUGGAUGAAAAACAUUAAGUUCACCUCGGGCACUUGAAAAGUUUAGAAUGUUAGAAAGUUCUAGCAUAUCUCAAUUUGUGUGAUCAGUCAUAGCAUAUUUGCCGUUAUGGAAAUAUCAAUUUUUUUUUU